rnacentral:rRNA from 1 species
UACGGAGGGUGCAAGCGUUGUCCGGAUUUAUUGGGUUUAAAGGGUGCGUAGGCGGGGUAUCAAGUCUGGUUUGAAAGUUAGCUGCUCAACAGUUAGACGUGGCUGGAAACUGGGAUUCUGGAAUGGGGUGGCGGCUGCCGGAACGGGUCAUGUAGCGGUGAAAUGCAUAGAUAUGACCCAGAACACCGAUUGCGAAGGCAGGCAGCUGGGACCUGAUUGACACUGAGGCACGAGAGCAUGGGGAGCGAACAGG